rnacentral:rRNA from 1 species
UACGUAGGUGGCAAGCGUUAUCCGGAAUUAUUGGGCGUAAAGCGCGCGCAGGCGGUUUCUUAAGUCUGAUGUGAAAGCCCACGGCUCAACCGUGGAGGGUCAUUGGAAACUGGGGAACUUGAGUGCAGAAGAGAAAAGCGGAAUUCCACGUGUAGCGGUGAAAUGCGUAGAGAUGUGGAGGAACACCAGUGGCGAAGGCGUUCUGCUGGGCCGUUGCUGACACUGAGGCGCGACAGCGUGGGGAGCAAACAGG